rnacentral:rRNA from 2 species
AACGCAUUAAGCACUCCGCCUGGGGAGUACGGUCGCAAGACUGAAACUCAAAGGAAUUGACGGGGGCCCGCACAAGCGGUGGAGCAUGUGGUUUAAUUUGAAGCAACGCGAAGAACCUUACCAGGUCUUGACAUCCUCUGACAACUCUAGAGAUAGAGCGUUCCCCUUCGGGGGACAGAGUGACAGGUGGUGCAUGGUUGUCGUCAGCUCGUGUCGUGAGAUGUUGGGUUAAGUCCCGCAACGAGCGCAACCCUUGAUUUUAGUUGCCAGCAUUUAGUUGGGCACUCUAAGGUGACUGCCGGUGACAAACCGGAGGAAGGUGGGGAUGACGUCAAAUCAUCAUGCCCCUUAUGACCUGGGCUACACACGUGCUACAAUGGAUGGUACAAAGGGCUGCAAGACCGCGAGGUCAAGCCAAUCCCAUAAAACCAUUCUCAGUUCGGAUUGUAGGCUGCAACUCGCCUACAUGAAGCUGGAAUCGCUAGUAAUCGCGGAUCAGCAUGCCGCGGUGAAUACGUUCCCGGGCCUUGUACACACCGCCCGUCACACCACGAGAGUUUGUAACACCCGAAGUCGGUGGAGUAACCGUAAGGAGCUAGC